rnacentral:rRNA from 1 species
UACGGGUGGUGCAAGCGUUCUUCUGCGUAAUUUGGCGUAAAGGGUGCGUAGGCGGUGUAUCCAAUAGAAGAAUAAUGACAAUACUUUGUUAAAGAUACACUGGAGUUCAGGGGGCGAUUGCGGAGUUUCUAGCAUCAGAGUUGAAAUGCGUAUUAAGACUAGAAGUAACACCGAAGGCGAAGGCAGCAAUCGAUCCUGGACUGACGCUGAGGCACGAAGGCAUGGGGAGCAAAGGGG